GACGAACGCUGGCGGCGUGCUUAACACAUGCAAGUCGAACGGAUUGCUUGGUGCUUGCACUGAGUGGUUAGUGGCGAACGGGUGAGUAACACGUGAGUAACCUGCCCCCUUCUUUGGGAUAAGCACCUGAAAGGGUGUCUAAUACUGAUUAUUCUGCUGGAAUCGCAUGGUUUUGGUUGGAAAGGUUUUUCUGGUGGGGGAUGGGCUCGCGGCUUAUCAGCUUGUUGGUGGGGUAAUGGCUUACCAAGGCUUUGACGGGUAACCGGCCUGAAAGGGUGACCGGUCACAUUGGGACUGAGAUACGGCCCAGACUCCUACGGGAGGCAGCAGUGGGGAAUAUUGCACAACGGACGAAAGUCUGAUGCAGCGACGCCGCGUGAGGGAUGAAGGCCUUCGGGUUGUAAACCUUUUUCGCUUUUGACCAAGGCAGCAUUUUGGUGUUGUUGAGGGUAUGAGGUAAAGAAGCUCCGGCUAACUACGUGCCAGCCGCCGCCGUAACAC
rnacentral:rRNA from 1 species